rnacentral:pre_miRNA from 1 species
ACGUGACGGGGAUUCUACUUUUGGUGAAGCGAGCUCAGAUGACUUCACCGGGCUCGAAUCCCUGUCCUGUCAUGAUUC